rnacentral:rRNA from 1 species
UACGGAGGAUCCGAGCGUUAUCCGGAUUUACUGGGUGUAAAGGGAGCGUAGGCGGCGAUGCAAGUCAGAAGUGAAAGCCCGGGGCUCAACUCCGGGACUGCUUUUGAAACUGUGUUGCUAGAUUGCAGGAGAGGUAAGUGGAAUUCCUAGUGUAGCGGUGAAAUGCGUAGAUAUCAGGAGGAACACCGGCGGCGAAGGCGGCUUACUGGACUGUAACUGACGUUGAGGCUCGAAGGCGUGGGGAGCAAACAGG